AUUGAACGCUGGCGGCAGGCCUAACACAUGCAAGUCGAACGAGUGGCGGACGGGUGAGUAAUGUCUGGGAAACUGCCUGAUGGAGGGGGCUAACUACUGGAAACGGAAGCUAAUACCGCGUAACAGCAGAUGUGCACAGCUUGGAUUAGGUAGUUGGUGGGGAAACGGCUAACCAAGGAGACGAUCCCUAGCGGGUCUGCGAGGAUGACCAGCCACACGGGACCUGAGACACGGUCCAGACUCCUACGGGAGGCAGCAGUGGGGAAGAUUCCACAAUGGGCGCAAGCCUGAUGCAGCCAUGCCGCGUGUAUGAUGAAGGCCUUCGGGUUGUAAAGUACUUUCAGCGGGGAGGCGUUACCCGCAGAAGAAGCACCGGCUAACUCCGUGCCAGCAGCCGCGGUAAUAC
rnacentral:rRNA from 1 species